CCUGAGUUCCUGACCUGUUCCUACAAACAUUUCUAAGAGUGAACAUAAUGUUUGUGGUUUAAACGGGACAGUCUGCCUCUUAUGACAGCAUCAUCCGAUAACAGCAACAGUUCACCCAACGAACGUGGAAUAUACAGAACAACAAUCUACAAUAACAGUAGCAGUUGGAGGCUCUGAGCUGAGGCAGUGAGCGGAGGCAGCAGCAAGGAAAAGGAGACAAGACAAGAAGAGUGGAGGAAGAAGAGAGCAACAGCAAAGCCAGGCAGACGAAGAGACCCUGCUCAGUCAUGCGUCCCAGGUCCAGAUUACAGGCUAAACGCGGCCUUCCCACCAUCAGGGAGGGCUAUGAGGAGCUGGUGCAGGACCUGAACCAGACCAACAGCCAGCACACCACCACACAGGACUACUUCCUUUCUAUCUGCCAUCUGGCCCGGCCCACCUUUCCUCUGCAUGAGCCCGACUGUGACAUCCUCUCCAUCGGCCCUUUGGAUUCUCCAAAGCCCUGCCUACGACUGCAACGCCUGCGUCAGCAUCUGCAGCCUCCGCAGCCCCACACCUCCACAAGCAGUGAUGAGACAGAUGAACAAGCCCAUAAAGAGAAAGAUACCACCAGAUCUGCUCCGUCAGAACCACUGCAGGCCCAGGCUGCCCCAGAGGAGGACAACGGAUGCAGAGGUGACAUCCCAGGCCCGGCAGAUCCACUGGAGUAUCUCUAUAGCCACAGAGGUGCACUAGCGCUCUCCAGCAGACGGGGCAGCAUUCCCCCGCGCCGGCCACGCAGUGACACCUUCCCAUGCUGUUCCUCGGCGCCUGAUGUCCAGCGGAAAAGCAGCUGCCCAGAGCUUUGUCUGCCUGAAACGGUCCCUGCGGUGAUGGUCCUGCAGCGGUCACCACUCAGCAGGAAGAAGCUGGAUGAAGGCAGCCUGGCUGCACGCAGUGGCAUUCCCAACAAGCUUGACGGCACCCCUGCUGGUUGGAGGGGAAAGAGCAGUCGUUGCAUGGACAAACAGACUAUAGUGUCCCACUGGAUCUCAGAGUGCCGCAGCGCAUGGAAGGAAGCCCGCAUUCGCGCAUGCAUGCUGCCCGCCAUUGCUGAGAAGUAAUCUACGGCUGCAAAAAUCUCUUUCCAGUGAGGGUGAAUAUCACGUAGAGUAACAUGGAUUAUUGUGAAAUUAUGACUUUGCACUUCAGGUUUAUAUGCAUAUACAUUUUUGAUGUAUUUUUAAACUUGUGACCCUAUCGAUGGUGCCGUGUCGAUACCACACCAUAGUGUAGAGUUACAAUGAAUGUCAAUGAUGAAUGAGUCAGUCUAGUAAUGUCCAGUCGUGAUCAAUAAAUGCAUUGAUUGUUGGAUGCCUUUAACAUUGUUUGGUGAGGUUUAAAAAUAAAAAGCAACAUUUAAAUUGCAGUUUAAUAUACAAAAAUCAGUGUAGUUUAAAGGAUACAGCAAUGCAUAAUAUUCAUAAAUAAGAAUCUCACUGCAUGUGUCCACAGCUAUAUUUGGCUGGGAAGACCCAGGUUUUAUCAAAUUUGCAUAUUAGGCAGCCAGUGAUGCAGAAUGAAUAUGCCAUGCUUCCUUGAAAUAUUGUCAAACAUCUUAUGACAUUUCCAAGAUUUUUGGGAAACGGGUUCAGCAAACAAUCUGACUAGGAUUAGGAUGCAUUUCCACCACAAAUAUGUUCAGAGAUAUUAUGUCCAACUGUUAUUUCUAUAUAAUGUCUCAAACAAUUGCUUCUUUGUUCACAUUAAUAGAUUGGUAUUUUGCAACAGAAUGACUAAGGAAACAAGCUUUUAUAAUUCACUACCGCCUUCUGACAACAAAGACAAAAUUAGUCAUCGUGUUUGUUUUCUGGCCCUUGUUUUGCAAUUUAAAAAAUAGAGUGAACUGGAUAGUCCUGUUGGAGGAUAAAUGAUUGAAUGUCCUGGUUAGGAAUCACUGUUGUUCAACAAACGACCAUACAAUAAAAAUAAAAAAAAAUCUGACCUACAUCAUCUUGAUAUUCAGAACUAUGGCAAAAGGCUAAAGUACACCUGCACUGUUAUCAUGUAAGACUGUUUGUACACACGCAGAAAAUCCUGUUUUCUCUGCUUUGAUUUGGUGUUUCAGUAUUUUAAGAUCGUCUUACUGUUAAAAGAUUAAUUAGUAUGGCUGCAUGUGAAUUUGUAAAUUUUGUAUUAUGCAUAUGAAAUUUCUUUAAAUUAUUAUAACGUAUGUAAUGAUUUCAGAGAAAAUGUAUAUUACACUAUAUGAGAACCCAUACCCGUACAACCCCCCCCCCACCACACACACACACAAUUUUUUUAAAUGAAUAAAAUGUCUGUGUUUUAUGUAUGAAUUCUGUGUGUUUUAUCCCCCGUUCCUUCAAGUAUAUUAAAAAUUACAAUGAUUCUUCUGAUAAAGGCUGUUAACCUGAUGACUUUCAGAAUCGAUUUAAAUCAAUUUUAUUGAUCCAUGGGAAAAAGCUAAUGAAUAUUAUGGUUUAGCAUAAUGUCCUAUACUGUAAUUUCAAAUUAAUUUUUUUUUUUUACAGUGAUAAGAAGCUUCGGUUUGGAUAGUAAUUUGAAAUAAUAUUUGUAUA
ensembl:lncRNA